CAAUGCCACAUUUCUUUGUGACCGCAGUAUGGGUUUUCGGUGCCAUUGCUAGGAAUCCCAUGGAUUAGGAGGGUAGAAGGAGGAGGGAUGGGAUUUUGGAGGGUUUAAGAAUGGAGCCAAGAGAGGGUUGAAGUGGGGUAAGCUCAGAAGUGAGUUAAUAGGAUUUUGAAAAAGUUGGAUGGUUUAACUCAAAAACUAGGCCCCU
rnacentral:lncRNA from 1 species